rnacentral:rRNA from 1 species
GACGAACGCUGGCGGCGUGCUUAACACAUGCAAGUCGAACGGAAAGGCCCUGCUUUUGUGGGGUGCUCGAGUGGCGAACGGGUGAGUAACACGUGAGUAACCUGCCCUUGACUUUGGGAUAACUUCAGGAAACUGGGGCUAAUACCGGAUAGGAGCUCCUGCUGCAUGGUGGGGGUUGGAAAGUUUCGGCGGUUGGGGAUGGACUCGCGGCUUAUCAGCUUGUUUGUGUGGUAGUGGCUUACCAAGGCUUUGACGGGUAGCCGGCCUGAGAGGGUGAACGGCCACAUUGGGACUGAGAUACGGACCAGACUCCUACGGGAGGCAGCAGUGGGGAAUAUUGCGGAAUGGGCGGAAGCGUGAUGCAGCAACGCCGCGUGCGGGAUGACGGGCUUCGGGUUGUAAACCGAUUUCGACUGUGACGAAGCGUGAGUGACGGUAAUGGGUAAAGAAGCACCGGCUAACUACGUG